GACGAACGCUGGCGGCGUGCUUAACACAUGCGAGUCGAACGAAGAGCGAUGGAAGCUUGCUUCUAUCACUCUUAGUGGCGAACGGGUGGGUAACGCGUAAUCAACCUGCCCUUCAGAGGGGGACAACAGUUGGAAACGACUGCUAAUACCGCAUACGAUCUAAUCUCGGCAUCGAGGAUAGAUGAAAGGUGGCCUCUAUGUAUAAGCUAUCACUGAAGGCGGGGAUUGCGUCUGAUUAGCUAGUUGGAGGGGUAACGGCCCACCAAGGCGAUGAUCAGUAGCCGGUCUGAGAGGAUGAACGGCCACAUUGGGACUGAGACACGGCCCAGACUCCUACGGGAGGCAGCAGGGGGGAAUCUUCCGCAAGGGACGAAAGUCUGACGGAGCAACGCCGCGUGAGGGAUGACGGCCGUCGGGUUGGAAAGCUCGGUUAAUCGGGACGAAAGGCCUUCUUGCGAAUAGGGAGAAGGAUUGACGGUACCGGAAGAGAAAGCCACGGCUAACUACGUG
rnacentral:rRNA from 1 species